rnacentral:piRNA from 1 species
UCACGAAAUUGUAUUAACUGG